rnacentral:rRNA from 1 species
UACGUAGGGCGCAAGCGUUAUCCGGAAUUAUUGGGCGUAAAGAGCUCGUAGGCGGUUUGUCGCGUCUGCCGUGAAAGUCCGGGGCUCAACUCCGGAUCUGCGGUGGGUACGGGCAGACUAGAGUGAUGUAGGGGGAGACUGGAAUUCCUGGUGUAGCGGUGAAAUGCGUAGAUAUCAGGAGGAAUACCGGGUGGCGAAAGCGACUCUCUGGACGGCAACUGACGCUGAGGCACGAAAGCGUGGGGAGCAAACAGG